CAUCCUCAUCUAUUAUCACCAUUUUCUAACAAAAAAACUCAGCAAUUAUGAAACUCAAUAAGAAUAAUUAAUAUUGUUUUGAAGUGACAUAAAUUUCUACUAUGAGAAAUCAUAGUUGGUUGUUUGAAUCAUAGUUGAUGAACUACAAUUGGCUUCACUACAAAGGUGACACAUUAAUGAAUUAAAUAACCGAAAUCAAUGUAAUUCAAUCAUAUGAAUAGGAAACUAACAUAUGAACAAACGAUAAUGAUUAAUUUAAUGCAAUCCUUGUACGUAAUAUAAGUAAACCUAAGAACUAAUAACCACUUUUAAACAUUGAAACCAACCAAAGUGAGACACGUAGAAACAUGUUAUCAUAUUUGAGUACAUGUUUUUGAUUCGCAAUUAGGUAAAACAGACGUUUGAUUAUGUUCCACGUGUAUCAUUUGUUGUUGAAUGUCAGUGUUUGUAAAUAGUAGAAUUAAGAGGACUGCAUUGCAUUAAAUUAUUUCCCUAAUUUCAACCUAGUUAGAAUUGAUUUUUCAUAUGCUUAGUACAAUAUGAUUAAAUGCAAUAUGAAGUAGUUGUUCCUUAUGUGUCACCUUUGUACUGAAGCCACAUUUUGUGGAAUGUUAGUUAGUUAUACAUUACUUGGAUCACUAUAUAAUCCAUAUAGCUUUAAUUAUGUACAACAAAAAAUAAUAAUGCUUUGACUUUUCAAGAUAAA
rnacentral:lncRNA from 1 species